UAUCUAUGAUGUGGACAUUGAACUAAAAUCAAUUUAAAACGUUCCCAAGCCCCAUGGAAUGAUUCACCUUCAAUUUGAGAGAAAGUGGCAAUAUUACCUCUUAGUUC